rnacentral:rRNA from 1 species
AUACGCAGGUGGCAAGCGUUGUCCGGAAUUAUUGGGCGUAAAGCGCGCGCAGGUGGUUCCUUAAGUCUGAUGUGAAAGCCCCCGGCUCAACCGGGGAGGGUCAUUGGAAACUGGGGAACUUGAGUGCAGAAGAGGAUAGUGGAAUUCCAAGUGUAGCGGUGAAAUGCGUAGAGAUUUGGAGGAACACCAGUGGCGAAGGCGACUGUCUGGUCUGUAACUGACACUGAGGCGCGGAAGCGUGGGGAGCAAACAGGAUUAGAUACCCUGGUAGUCCACGCCGUAAACGAUGAGUGCUAAGUGUUGGGGGGUUUCCGCCCCUCAGUGCUGCAGCUAACGCAUUAAGCACUCCGCCUGGGGAGUACGGUCGCAAGACUGAAACUCAAAGGAAUUGACGGGG